rnacentral:rRNA from 1 species
GACGAAGGGGGCUAGCGUUGUUCGGAAUUACUGGGCGUAAAGCGCGUGUAGGCGGUUGCCCAAGUCGGGUGUGAAAGCCUUGAGCUCAACUCAAGAAAUGCACUCGGUACUGGGUGACUAGAGGACCGGAGAGGAUAGUGGAAUUCCCAGUGUAGUGGUGAAAUACGUAGAGAUUGGGAAGAACACCAGUGCCGAAGGCGGCUAUCUGGACGGUUUCUGACGCUAAGACGCGAAAGCGUGGGGAGCAAACAGG